GAAGGAUGGGAAAGCCUAUAUAUACCUCUAUCUGUUAUCUGUCUUGUCAUUGUUAUAAGUGGCAUUGAAUGUUUGCCGUAUUUGUGUUCUGUGAUCCGCCCUGAGUCCCCUUCAGGGUGAGAAGGGUAGAAUAUAAAUACUGUAAAUAAAUAAAAAAAUAAAAAAUGCCUUAAAUGUAGUUCUACUAAGGCCCUUCCUACACUGCCAUUCAAAAUCCAGAUUAUCUGCUUUGAACUGGAUUAUAUGGCAGUUUAGACUCAUAUAAUCCAGUUCAAAGCAGACAGUGUGGAUCAGGGGUCCUCAAACUUUUAAAGCAGAGGGCCGUUCCACAAUCCUUCAGACUGUUGAGGGGCCAAAUUAUCAUUUGAAAAAAAAUACAAACAAAUUCCUAUGCACACUGUAUAUUUGUCUUAUUUGUAGUGCAAAACAACAACAACAACAAUGAAAGAACAAUACAAUAUUUAACAAUGAAAACAAUCUUAACCAACAUAAACCUAUCAGGAUUUCAAUGGAAAGUGUAGAUCUGCUUCUGGCCAAUGAGAUAGUCAAGUUAAUUAGGAUUGUUGUUGUUGUUUUUGCACUACAAAUAAGACAUGUGCAGUGUGCAUAGGAAUUUGUUCGUAUUUUUUUUCAAAUGAUAAUUUGGCCCCUCCACAGUCUGAAGGAUUGUAAACCGGCCCUUUGCUUUAAAAGUUUGAGGACCCCUGGUCUGGGUGAUAAAACAAGUUAUAAAUGAUUUGCACAUCCAGUCCCAAAUGGAUUUCCUCAAAGCUGGAGUUCUUUCUAUGCUAGAAGGAGCAUUUUUCCCUCUCCCAUGUUGAGCGUGUAAGCCGGCACACUGAUCCAAAGAGAGAACUCAAUCUGUGAUAAUCAGCUCAUUGGUAUUCGUCUUAUGGAGGCAUGACAUCCUCUGUCGCUGUGCAUUCACUACCAAAUUCCAUCAGGGAUCAAGAGCAACAUGCAGCCUUUGUUUUGAUAUAGAAUCAACUGGAAAGACGAAAACUAUCAGAAAAAUAAGCCCCUGAUAUAAAGACAGUGUAGAUACUAUAAACAGAAUUGUCAGCUCAAAACAAAGAAGAAGAAAGCAAAGAGAAAGGGUAAAAGACAGAAUGGUCCUUUUAGUUACGGCAAUGUACCGUAUAUACUCGAGUAUAGGCCGACUUGAAUGUAAGCCGAGGCACCUAAUUUUACUACAAAAAAACUGAGAAGACAUUGACUCCAGUAUAAGCCGAGGGUGGUAAAUUUCAGAAAUAAAAAUAGAUACCAAUAGAAUUACAUGAAUUGAGGCAUCAUUAGGUUAAAUGUUUUUGAAUAUUUACAUAAAGCUCUAAUUUAAGAUAAGACUGUCCAACUCUGAUCAAAUCAUUAUUCUCAUCUUCUUCAAUGUAAAUGUACUUAUGUAUCCUUUUAAUAAUAAUAGAGUAAAAUAAUGCAUGUAAUAAUAAUAAUAAUACAGUAGAGUCUCACUUAUCAAAGCCUCGCUUAUCCAAGCCUCUGGAUUAUCCAAGCAAUUUUUGUAGUCAAUGUUUUCAAUAUAUCAUGAUAUUUUGGUGCUAAAUUCGUAAAUACAUUGAUUACAACAUAACAAUACUGCGUAUUGAACUACUUUUUCUGUCAAAUUUGCUGUAUAACAUGAAGUUUUGGUGCUUAAUUUGUAAAAUCAUAACCUAAUUUGAUGUUUAAUAGACUUUCC
ensembl:lncRNA